CCCGCCGGCGACCGGCGCACGGGUGAGUAACACGUAUGCAACCUGGCCGCCACAGGGGGAUAACCCGCGGAAACGCGGCCUAAUACCCCGUGACGCCACCGGAGGGCAUCCUCCGGUGGCCAAAGGAGCGAUCCGGUGGCGGAUGGGCAUGCGGCGCAUUAGCUAGACGGCGGGGUGACGGCCCACCGUGGCGACGAUGCGUAGGGGUUCUGAGAGGAAGGCCCCCCACAUUGGGACUGAGACACGGCCCAGACUCCUACGGAAGGCAGCAG
rnacentral:rRNA from 1 species